CAAUCCUCUGGUUUAUUACCAAGUGGCUGCAAUAGCCAGGGCUCAACCAGGCCAAGUCCAGAGUCCAGAACUCAGUAUGGGUCUCUCACCUGAGUGACAGGGGCCCAAGCACUUGGGCCAUCUUCUGCUGCCUCUCUGAAUGCAUUAGUAGGAAGUUGGACUGGAGGUGGAGCAAGACUGUACUUGAACGGGCACUCUGAUAUGGAACGUGGGCAUCCCCAGUGGUGGCUUAACCUGCGGGGCCACAGCACUUGACCUUGUGCUUUGGUUUUAUUUUUGCUUCACUUUUAUUCAUGCUUCACUACUUCAACAACAUCUCUUUUUUUUUUUUUUUUUUUGACAGGCAGAGUGGACAGUGAGAGAGAGAGACAGAGAGAAAGGUCUUCCUUUGCCGUUGGUUCACCUUCCAAUGGCCGCCGCGGCCGGCGCACCAUGCUGAUCUGCUGGCAGGAGCCAGGUACUUAACUGGUCUCCCAUGGAGUGCAGGGCCCAAGUACUUGGCCAUCCUCCACUGCACUCCCUGGCCACAGCAGAGAGCUGGCCUGGAAGAGGGGCAACCGGGACAGAAUCUGGCGCCCCAACCGGGACUAGAACCCGGUGUGCCGGCACUGCAAGGCGGAGGAUUAGCCUAGUGAGGUGCAGCGCCGGCCUCCAACAACAUCUUCACGGUGGAUCAUAUGGACAGAUGUGAUAGAACAGAACCAACGCGUAUCACUCGUACGGUUCACUGGAGAAUGCCUGGAUGGUUGGGAAGCAGUGAUGGUGCCUGCUUUGUCCUUCAUUUGAUCCAGGACUUCAACAGCCAUGGAGAACCAAGUCAGCCAAAUGCUUUAGGUCAGUCCCUUUGUGCCACAAAGCCCCACGUAGUCUCUCUCUCUUUUUAAGAUUUAUUUAUUUAUUUGAAAGUCAGAGUUACACAGAGGGAGAUGGAGAGGCAGAGAGAGAGGUCUUCCAUCGAUGGUUUACUCCCCAAUUGACCAAAACAGCUAGAGCUGUGCCGAUCUGAAGCCCAGAGCCAGGAGCUUCUUCUGGGUCUCCCAUGUGGGUGCAGGGACCCAAGGACUUGGGCCAUCUACUGCUGCUUUCCCAGGCCAUAGCAGAGAGCUGGAUCAGAAGUGGAGCAGCCAGGACUUGAACUGGCACCCAUAUGGGAUGCCGGCACUGCAAGCAGCGGCUUUACCUGCUACACCACAGCGCUGGCCCCACGUAGUCUCUUUUAAAUCACUGGCUUCCCACUGCUGAUGAGAAUAACUGAAGUUGUGUUUACAUUUUAUAGUCAAAGUCACUAGUGAAGCAGAUGUCUAUGAACACAUGUCACAUUAUUUUGGUAUAAUACUAAUUCUUUAGAAAAAUUUUGCUUUUGAUGUUUGCUUAAGAUAAAUUGGGCCAGAAUACUUUGGGUCUUGAAGAUAUUUGUUCUUUAACACAUAAAUUAUACUCACCAUCUAUUCAGUCUUAGAGGUAGAAUGGCAUAAUAAAGUAAAACAUACAUUCA
rnacentral:lncRNA from 1 species